GUCCACGCCCUAAACGAUGUCAACUAGUUGUCGGGACUUAAUUGUCUUGGUAACGCAGCUAACGCGUGAAGUUGACCGCCUGGGGAGUACGGUCGCAAGAUUAAAACUCAAAGGAAUUGACGGGGACCCGCACAAGCGGUGGAUGAUGUGGAUUAAUUCGAUGCAACGCGAAAACCUUACCUACCCUUGACAUGGUUCAAAGUUUCCAGAGAUGGAGAUGUGCUCGCAAGAGAAUGAAUACACAGGUGCUGCAUGGCUGUCGU
rnacentral:rRNA from 1 species